GCUGGGCUGGGAGGAGGCGGGCAGGCUGGUGGGCCGGGCGGUCUACGGGCGGUCGGGAGCGCGCGGUGGACUCGGCGGCGGCUAGUAGUUAGUUGUUGUUAGUCAGUGUCAGUUGCUCGGCGGUGGCGGCCGCGGUCACCAGGAAGGGUACUGGACGGCCGGCGAAGGUAGUCACCGCGGCGGCGUGUGAGCCCCUCAGGUAUCUGCCUAAACUGGAAGUUAUGCUGUAGAGAUUUCUUUGUGGAUUUGUCUGAAAACCUAAGCCAGAAGGUGGCCAUCUGCAAGCCAGAAAGGGAGCUCUCACCAGAACCUGACCGUGCUGGCACCCUAAUUGCAGACCUCCAGCCUCCAGAACUACCCUACUGCCCUAGGUUAAGAACUCUUGGAUUAAUCUAAUGGUGUUAGCAGAAGCCAUAUUGCUGUGGACUGGAGAGGGAAUUUGCGUGAGGGCAGAGACGAAAGGGAGGACACCAUAGGGAAAAGAAUAUUUGAGGUCCAUUCCUCAGGAAAGAAAAGGAAGCAAUGACAUAAUGCCUAGAGUUGGUGCCAGUUAAACUGGUAAACAUUGCUAUCUUCAGAAAAUAAGUUAAGGAAUGAGAGGCAAGGAAGAAAGGACGUUCAUCUUGGAAGGACCCAAAGCACUUUGAAAUUUAAAUGAAUGUAAUGAUAGCUGCUAAAACCGCCUUUGUCACCAAAAUGGAUGAAGUACUUCAAAUUUAAAUGAUUGAUCACACUUACAAGAGCUGCUAUGAAACAUAGGGGAGGUGAAAACUAACAGAUGAAAGUUUUGCCAUGCACUGAAAGGAAAGCAUUGUCUGUGAAGUUCUAUUUUUAAAAAUGUCUGCUUGUAAUACCUUUACUGAACACGUUUGGAAACCUGGUGAAUGCAAGAACUGCUUUAAACCUAAAAGCUUACAUCAGCUCCCCCCAGACCCUGAGAAGGCACCCAUCACCCAUGGCAAUAAAACUAAUGCCAAUCAGAGUAACAACCACAGAAUCAGGAACACCGGAAAUUUCAGGCCUCCUGUGGCUAAAAAACCCACUAUAGCUGUGAAGCCCACUAUGAUGGUGGCAGAUGGGCAAAGUAUGUGUGGUGAGCUUAGUAUCCAAGAACACUGUGAGAACAAACCUGUCAUCAUAGGAUGGAACCGAAAUAGGAUGGCCUUGAAUCAGAAACCACUUAAUAAUAAUAAUGAAGAUGACAUUGAAGGAUUUAGCCAUGUUCCUAAGCCUUAUGGGAAUAAUGAUAGUGCAAAGAAGAUAUCAAAUAACAAUAGUGGACUAACUGAGGUGUUAAAGGAGAUAGCAGGCUUGGAUACCACCCCUCAAAUAAGAGGAAAUGAAACAAACUCCAGAGAAACAUUCUUAGGAAGAAUAAAUGAUUGCUAUAAACGAUCACUGGAAAGAAAGCUUCCACCAAGUUGCAUGAUGGGCGGAAUAAAGGAUACUCAGGGCAAGCAUGUUAUUCUGAGUGGGAGCACAGAAGUGAUCAGUAAUGAAGGGGGUCGAUUCUGUUACCCAGAGUUUUCUAGUGGCGAAGAGAGUGAGGAAGAUGUGCUUUUGAGUAACAUGGAGGAGGAGCACGAGAGCUGGGAUGAGAGUGAUGAAGAACUGCUGGCCAUGGAGAUUCGCAUGAGAGGGCAACCUCGCUUUGCCAACUUUAGGGCAAACACUUUGUCUCCUGUUCGAUUCUUUGUGGACAAAAAAUGGAAUACUGUCCCCCUGCGAAAUAAAUCUCUGCAAAGAAUCUGUGCUGUAGACUAUGAUGACAGUUACGAUGAAAUCCUGAAUGGUUAUGAAGAGAAUUCUGUGGUCUCCUAUGGACCAGGAAGCAUUCAGAGCAUAGUGUCGUCUGACUCCACAUCCCCAGAUUCCUCUUUAACAGAAGAAUCACGUUCUGAGACAGCCAGUAGUUUAUCCCAGAAGAUUUGUAAUGUGGGAAUAGCUCCUGGUAACCCGGGAGAUUCUAAGGACAUGAAGGAAAGUGAGCCCAAUUAUGAAAGCCUCUCUGGUAAUAAUCAGGAGAAGGACUCAGCACAAGCAUCCAAAAGCUCAGUAAAAGUUCCAGAGACGCACAAAGCAGUCCUUGCUCUCCGAUUGGAAGAGAAGGAUGGCAAGAUUGCCGUACAAACUGAGAAGCAAGAAAGUAAAGCCCCUACUGAUAUUACUGGGCAAGCAGUAACAAUAAACCUCGUUCCUGUAGAAGAGCAAGCAAAGCCCUACCGAGUUGUGAAUCUGGAACAGCCUUUGUGCAAGCCAUAUACUGUCGUGGAUGUGUCAGCAGCCAUGGCCAGUGAGCACCUCGAGGGCCCUAUUAACAGUCCCAAGACGAAAAGCUCAUCUUCUACUCCAAACUCUCCAGUGACAUCACCCACACUGACAUCAGGACAAAUAAGUGCCCAUUUCCAAAAAUCCAGUGCAAUCCGCUACCAGGAAGUAUGGACUUCCAGUACCAGUCCACGACAAAAGAUACCUAAGGUGGAAUUAAUUAGCGGUGGGACUGGACCAAAUGUCCCUCCAAGGAAAAACUGUCACAAAUCAGCACCUACUUCACCCACAGCUACAAACAUUUCCUCCAAAACCAUCCCUGUUAAGUCACCUAAUUUGUCUGAAAUAAAAUUUAAUAGUUAUAACAAUGCCGGUAUGCCACCUUUUCCAAUUAUCAUUCACGAUGAGCCAACUUAUGCUCGGAGUUCCAAAAAUGCUAUCAAAGUUCCCAUUGUAAUCAAUCCAAAUGCAUAUGACAAUCUAGCCAUUUACAAAAGUUUUCUCGGAACAAGUGGAGAACUUUCAGUGAAGGAAAAAACCACAAGUGUAAUAAGCCAUACUUAUGAAGAAAUAGAAACUGAAAGCAAAGUGUCUGAUAAUACCACUAGCAAAGCCACUGAAUGUCCCCAAGCUAAAGGGUUUUUAAACAGCACAGAGCGUAAAAGGGGUUCAGUGGCUCAGAAGGUUCAGGAGUUUAACAGCUGUCUUAACAGAGGUCAGUCCUCACCACAGAGGAGCUACAGUUCCAGCCACAGCUCCCCGACAAAGCUCCAGAGAACCACUCAAGAGCCUGUGGCCAAAACAGAAAGCACUCAGGAGUCUCCGAUAGUGAGCAGCAGCAGCGCCAGGGAGAAGGCAAGCACCGUGCUUUCUCAGAUCGUGGCUUCUAUCCAGCCCCCACAGUCUCCUCCAGAAAUGCCCCAGUCUGGCCCUAAAGCUUGCAGUGUGGAAGAGCUUUAUGCCAUUCCUCCCGAUGCCAGUGCUGCUAAGAGUACACCUAAGAGUACACCAGUCCGGCCCAAGUCUCUCUUCACAUCCCAGCCCAGUGGUGAGGCUGAAGCACCUCAGACCACAGAAAGUCCUACCACCAAAGUACAGAAAGAUCCACUCACAAAGCCAGUCACCACCCCUCCCUCCAAAUUAGUGACUAACCCCCAAAGUGAGCCGCCACCCCCCUUUCCCCCACCACGCUCGACUUCCUCCCCUUACCAUGCAAGUAACCUUUUGCAGAGGCAUUUCACCAACUGGACCAAGCCAACUAGCCCUACCAGGUCAACGGAAGCUGAAUCAGUUUUGCACUCUGAAGGCAGCAGGCGGGCCGCUGAUGCAAAACCUAAACGCUGGAUAUCAUUUAAAAGUUUCUUCCGCCGUCGGAAAACAGAUGAAGAGGACGACAAAGAGAAAGACCGAGAGAAAGGGAAACUGGUGGGCCUGGACGGCACAGUCAUCCACAUGCUGCCCCCUCCUCCAGUUCAGCGCCAUCACUGGUUCACAGAGGCAAAAGGAGAAUCCAGCGAGAAGCCAGCCAUCGUCUUCAUGUACAGGUGUGACCCUGCCCAAGGCCAGCUCAGUGUGGAUCAGGGCAAAGCCAGGGCAGAGCAGUCAGCAGUCACAGAGAAGGGUAGAGCAGAGGAUGGGUUACUACAGGACUCAGAGAAGAAGAAAAGGAGUCAUUCUUCUCCAUCACAGAUUCCUAAGAAAAUUCUCAGUCACGUGACCCAUGAAGUGACAGAGGAUUUUUCUCCUCGGGAUCCAAGCACUGUUGUGAAGCAAGAUGGUGGGGGCUGUACUUCAGUCACAUCGGCAUUGCCGCUGCCUGAACUGGAAAGGGAAGAGGAAAAGGGAGACAUUUCAGGUCCUAUGGACCCGAAUCCCUGUAGUGCAACGUACAGCAACUUAGGGCAAUCUAGAGCAGCCAUGAUACCUCCCAAGCAUCCACGGCAGCCUAAGGGAGCUUUGGAUGAUGCCAUUGCCUUUGGUGGGAAAACAGACCAAGAAGCACCUAAUGCUUCUCAACCUACACCACCCCCACUGCCAAAGAAAAUGAUCAUAAGAGCCAAUACAGAGCCAAUCUCCAAAGACCUCCAAAAAUCCCUGGAAACUACUCUUUGUGUCAUGGCUAAUCCCACCUAUGAUAUCGACCCCAACUGGGAUGCCAGCAGUGCUGGCUCUUCAAUCAGUUAUGAACUCAAGGGACUGGACAUUGAGUCUUAUGACUCCUUGGAGAGACCUUUGCACAAGGAGAGACCUGUGCCCUCAGCAGCAAACAGCAUCUCCAGCUUAACCACUCUCAGUAUUAAGGAUAGAUUUUCCAAUAGCACAGAGUCCCUGUCCAGCCGGCGUGGUCCCUCUUGUAGACAGGGCCGGAGUAUCCAGAAGCCACAGAGACAAGCACUUUAUCGAGGACUUGAGAAUCGUGAAGAAGUGGUGGGUAAAAUCCGAAGCCUUCAUACAGAUGCCUUGAAGAAACUGGCUAUUAAAUGUGAAGACCUCUUCAUGGCUGGACAGAAAGACCAGCUCCGUUUUGGGGUGGACAGCUGGUCAGACUUCAGGCUAACCAGUGACAAGCCAUGUUGUGAGGCAGGCGAUGCAGUUUACUACACAGCUUCAUAUGCAAAAGAUCCACUUAAUAACUAUGCAGUCAAGAUCUGUAAGAGCAAAGCUAAAGAAUCGCAGCAGUAUUAUCACAGCUUGGCUGUCCGGCAGAGUCUGGCUGUCCAUUUUAACAUCCAGCAGGACUGUGGUCACUUCCUUGCUGAAGUUCCUAAACGUCUGCUUCCCUGGGAGGACCCUGAUGCCCCGGAAGAGGAAGAGGAUGAAAUGGAAGCGACAGAAGAGGUGAAAGGAGGAACUGAUGGAAAAAGCCCAGAGCCCGGCUCUGAAGCAGAGUCAUCCCACAAAGAAAGCCAGGCAGUCGUUAGCAGGAAGCAGAGAAGCCACGUCGUGGUCAUCACCAGAGAGGUUCCCUGUCUCACCGUGGCCGACUUUGUGCGAGACUCUCUAGCGCAGCAUGGGAAAAGCCCUGACGUGUAUGAGAGGCAAGUGUGUCUGCUGCUCUUACAGCUGUGCUCCGGCCUGGAGCACCUCAAACCCUACCACGUCACUCACUGCGAUCUGCGUCUGGAGAACCUGCUGCUUGUCCAUUACCAGCCCGGGGGACCCGCCCAGGGCCUUGGGCCUGCGGAGCCCAGCCCCACCUCUUCUUGUCCCACGAGGCUUAUAGUAAGCAACUUCUCUCAAGCCAAGCAGAAGAGCCAUCUGGUAGACCCUGAGAUCCUCCGGGACCAGUCCCGCCUCGCCCCAGAGAUCAUCACAGCCACCCAGUAUAAAAAGUGUGAUGAGUUCCAGACAGGCAUCCUCAUCUACGAGAUGCUGCACCUGCCCAACCCCUUCGAUGAGAACCCAGAGCUGAAGGAGAAGGAAUACACUCGAGCAGACCUGCCUCGCAUCCCACUCCGCUCCCCCUAUUCCCGGGGCCUGCAGCAGCUGGCCAGCUGCCUCUUGAACCCCAACCCUUCUGAGCGACUCCUCAUUUCAGGCGCCAAAGGCAUCCUCCAGUGUCUGCUCUGGGGCCCCCGGGAAGGCCUCUUCCAGACUUUCACUGCCUCCCCGAGCCCAGUGCAGAGGAAUGCUCUGCUCCAAAACUGGCUAGACAUCAAGCGAACACUGCUCAUGAUCAAGUUUGCUGAGAAGUCCCUGGACAGGGAAGGUGGCGUCAGCCUGGAGGACUGGCUUUGUGCUCAGUAUUUGGCUUUUGCUACUCCAGACUCCCUCAGCUGCGUCGUGAAAAUCCUGCAGCCCCGUUAACGUGUCCCAGUUGCUGCUCUUCAUUGUCGCCUUCUUCAAGUGGCUCACACACUUCCCCUUCCUAGCACUCACACAGAAUUCAAGGAAAGGGGAGAGACGAGCCUUCCAUCCCCAUCCACUCUGAAAGGUUGUCCUCAGCUCUGAAUCCAGUGAGACUCUGAGUCCCUCUUAAUUUCACAGAAAGUCAGCCGCACAAACAUGCAGCUGCCUUCCAUGGGAAUGCCUUCUGCCCUAACUGUCCCCCAAAUGCAGGGAAAGUGAAGACAUGUCCUUGAAGGGACAGCUCCUCUGGUUUGAACUCAGUGAGCUGGGUCCAGUUCCUCCAUAAUUCUGAAUAGCUCCUGUCUUUUUAACACCGUGUAUUUAUUCUCGCUAGCAAUAGACGGAUUUAACCAGUCCUUACCACCAUCCACUAAGCUCUCACAACAGACUUUCUUCCUUUAAAGAAUCAAUAACUGACUCUCUUACCAGGCGGAGCUGCCAUCCCUAGCAUCAGCCCAGUUUUGGUUCCGGGGACUGUAUCCUUUGUUCCAGGAGGAGUAGAAGGACGAGGAGAGAUCCCAUCCUCUGGGUCAUGAACCCAUUUUCAUUUCUAUUAUCGAUAAGUGUGUGCACUGCAUGGAGGGCGGCCCUAACCGUCUCCCCUCUGCUGCCACUGCCUGAUUCUCCUUCACCUCUACUCUCUCCCCACUUGCCAAUGAAGUUUGGGCUUAUCGGCCACUUGUGGCCCAUUACAGAGCUGACCCAAGGUGGUGUCACCAGUGCCUCAGCAGGGUGGAGUGCAGUUCAGAUCUUAUAAAUAGCUGGCAGGACACAAGGAGAUGAUUUUCCUGCAUGUGCAAUUCUCUAGGGGACAUCAGGGGAACAGAGUUUAAAGUACUGUUCUUUGAUUACUGUCAGAGCUGUCAACGUUGGCAGCCAGGGCUGCCGGUGCCCAGAUCACAGUUUUCCCUCGAGCAGUAAUUGGCCAGCUUCCUUCUGUCAGUAGCCCGCGUUAACUAGUCUACCAAAUGCUGUAGACAACAGCCCUGCGCGAAAAGGCUGUCAGUGGAGCUGUGACGUCUCCUUAGAGGGCAUGGCGUGGCUGGCUGUUAGGACGGCCAGAAGGCAGGGGAAGGGGAGAAGGCCGCUGAUGGGACUGCUGACCUCCUCCCCAGAAUGCCGGCCUUUUCUAGAGAGACCGCCUCCCAGUGCCCAGGCACAUUGCUCCUUGUGACCCUCUGAAAUGGCUCUGGAGGACAGCUCCCAGGGAACUUGGAUUGCUGAGGUGGGUGGCUGAGAGCUGUUCACCGCACGUGGGGGCUGUGCUCCUCCUCUAUGGAUAUAUGUGCAAUUUGGAGAAUGGGACAUGUGAGGCUCCCUAUGGAACAUGUGCCUGUCCUCCUGGCCAGCAGUACAGGACUUCCAGGGAAGAGAGCUGGUUGGCCCACAAAGAGUCUUGUCUCUGCCCCUAGGAAUGGCCGCAAGGUGGGCAUGCCGCUGCAGGCCAGCAGUCCACUCUCUCUCUCGGUGUCCUGUGACAUGGCCACACCUUGCCUAGCAGGCUGGUGUUCGGUUCACCUUAGCAUAGCCCAUGUGCACAUAACUCCCUGCCCAAUUAUACACUGAAGUGGCAGUGCACAGACCACUGACCCUGUCAGCCAGCACGUUCCCUUAGCAGCCCCCCUCCGUGGUUUGCAUAUUGAGACACUUUCUCAAUGUCACUCUCGUGGUGCCUUGCCCAUGUAAAUUUGAAUGUUGACUAUUUAAUGAGGUUUCAUAUUUAAUGAAGAAUGUUUCCUGGUCCCUCUAUUUGUUCUCUAGGUAUCCUCCCUCCCCCAACACACACACUUUUUUUCUCUGUUUCUGUUUUGCCUUGGACCCAGUCUUCUUCAUUUUAACUCUAUAGUAUUAUAAUCAUGGACACCCUCCACUACCGUUAUCUCAUAGCACUGGCAAACCGAGCACCUCUUCACAUCAGAUGUGUUUAGUACUGUUUUCAUAUUCAGAUUUGUUAAGGGCAAAAGAGUAAUGCCAACUAGUCAGAGAAGGGACUCAGGCGUCCCUGAGACAGGUGGCUAGAUUAACAGCUCUCUGAGUGAGGGCCAAGGAAUGUAAGGUGGGGAGGGAAGAAGGUGUUACAGGUUAGAGCAGAAUAGGCAAAAUAACCCCAUUUCUAGGCAAGAAGUAUUUACAUCAGGUGGUCCUCCAGAUAUUUUUCCAAAUAUGAUGAAAUUCAGUCAAUCUCAUAUUAUCACAAAUAUUUUACAUUUCCAUUUUAAUUGUAGUGGGAACUUCGAAUACAUUCAUCAACUGGAAAGAAAUCCUGCCCUCAGACACAGACAGACAUACAUACAUAUUUAUAUAUAUAUAUAUAUAUGAGUUUUGGAUUGUGACUAGUAUAGCACUUUGUUUUCUCAAGUAAUGUCAAGUUAUUGUCUUCAAUACUGAUUGGAUUUUUUCUCUUCUAUUGAAGUUUAUACUAUAGAUUCUUCCAUUUAUAUUGAGAAUUUGAACAAUUAAGCCGCUAUUGGAACUUUUCCUUAAGCCACAUGAGCAAGAAUAAUCUCUCGUACACAUUUGGGUACUAGAGAAACAGGACAAUGGCUGGAGUAGCCAAGACCAAGACUGAAUGUACAGCAGAGUGCCUUGUUAGCAUGAUAACCUCGUCUGGGAAGGAAGGGAAUUAGAUGUUCCACAGGAAGGACGGGGGCUGUGAGAGGGCUCUUUUGCUAGCCUGAGGAGAGCCCCUUUGGUGUACUAGUGUGAUGUCCAGAAGCUAAUUCGUCAAGAAUAACAGCAGGAUGGGGAAAAGAGCAGUCGCAACAUGUGGAAUCAACAACAAAAGAAUCGGGAAGGACGUCCACCAACCCCUAGGCUAAGUCUGAAUUGGAAGCCAGGAAUAUGGCAGUGGGUUUCAAGUUUUGCCCUCGGAAGAUAAACCGGGUGAGAUAUAUGGGGGGGCACAAGCACCCACACUCCCUAGCCUACUGAUGUUGAGGGGCUAAAAGUAAAACCUAUUUGUUAGGAUUUCAAGACUCUGAGUAACCUUUCAUUGUCAGUGGGCGACAGUUGUGCUUCCAAACUCAGAAUAAGUUUGUGAACUUAGAAAACUCUAAGCCAAGAGAUCUGAACCUCUAGAAAUAUUAAUGAUAUUUCUGGGAGUUAAACUACCUAAAAUUGUAUUUUAAAGUUUCCAGCAUUGUAAAAUUUCCAUGAAAGACCUUUGGGGCCUACUAAACGGUAGGACGUAGAAGGAUUGCACUCAGCUUCCCAAAUUUGAAUUAAGAAUACUUUGGUGCUGGGAAGCAACCUGACUUGGUUUUGCUGAUAACCUGCAACUAGGAUUUUUCCCUAGAUGUUACCAGCAGUGAUCUGAAAAAAUACAGGCUAGUUCCAGAAAUUGGGAUGGACUUAUUAUUCUGCACUAUAUUCCAAAUGAUUCUAGAUGUAUAAAUGAAGUAUGAGCAUACUUGGGGGUGGUGGGGAGGAACUUGACUCCCUGGGUUAACUCUGACAUGUUUUUUAUUCCCCUCACUAGUUGAUAAGGAUUAAAGAUUCUGGUUCAGCCUAAUGAGUAAACAGGAUGGCUGCCCACGAAACCGGGCUAUUAAGUUUUACCUCAUUGAAGCUCAUAUUCUCAAAGGCCCUAAGUGCUGUGCUGAGACGAAUCCAAGUGCCGCUCUUGCUGAAGUGCGCACUGCAGCCCAGCUGUCCACGCUGAUGGCAGCGCUGAAAGUGGGGAUUCCGUUGGACCAAAAAUGAUGCCAUAAGGGAAGCCACAAGAGGUGCAGUGCAAGAUCCUAGGUAGAGAUUAUGCCAAAGAAAUCAAGCCUUUUUGUCCUGAUGCUUCUUAGAUGAUGAGGUUGAGUUAUGACAGAUGCCAUGGGAGGAGAAUUCACAUACAUUCCACAUCCAGGUAUUCAGCUGAUAAAAUAAUGCAUCCUCAAAUAAGCACCUAUUUUUUUAAAACAAGUCCAUUUUGUGUAUUAGGAAAAAAAAGAUGAUGAUGAAGAAGAAGAAGAAAACCUUGCGCAGAUUAUAAAGUUCCCCAGUAUUUAAGGAGAAGGAACUGUUUCCUCUCUCGUUGACAUGGUUGUGACUACUGCCCAAACUUCAGUUUGGGAACAUCAUAUCCACGUAAUACUGAGAGCUGAGGAAUUUUUUAAGAGAGAUAUGGUAGUUUCCAUAGGUUUGUUUAAAGAACUCUUGGGAAAUUUCUUAACAAAUUAUAAUAUUUUUUUAUAAACCUUCCUACUGAGGUGUUUAUCACUCACCAUCACCACCAUUUAAUAUUUAUAAGUGCCCAUAAUGUACAAGGUGCUAUACAGCUGUUAAACACCCCCCUCUCUGCAGCUGUUUGAAAUUAGAGUAGGUUUUUGCGUCAGCCACUGCUAGAAGCUUUCCCCACCUGGGCUGGCGGCAGGGGCUUGCAUCCGGACAUCCCAUCGCAUGUUUCCCACUCCAGAGAGCCUCCGCGUUUAUUCCAGCUUCUCACCUUUACCCACCCAUUUGCUUCCAUGUUUGUUGUUGUUUUUUUUUUAAUCCAGAAAGUUUCAGGGAAUCCAAAGAGGUCGGACAUUUUCUAACCUAGCAGAAGUACAGAGUCAUAUAUUUUGCUACAAAUAUUAUAUUAUGGAAAAUCCACUUUGCCCGUGUAGUGUGUGGAAAGUAUGUGUGUGUCCGCACUCAUGAUAACUUGAAUGUUGAACCAGUCCUAUGGCUUCAGGGUAGCGUUUUUGAAAGAUAAACCACACUGCUUCAGGAAACUUGCUCCAAAUACUACUUGGUUAUCCCUUCCCUUAGCAGAUGUGUGAACACACUGGGAUGGGAUUUUUCUGUUGAUGAUAUGCCGGGCAUUUUGGCGUGAGAUGAGGGCAGAAGCCAGAUGUUGUCCUUCUCAGUGAUUUGAAUCAUGGCAGCCCUCAUUCCACUCUCUCUUUCAUUCCCCAUGGCUCUGCCCAUGCUCUCUUUUUGAAAAUCUUUUUUCUUUUGCUCUUUCCUGGAGCUUCACCUCUACUUAACAUGUUUUGGAGUUGUAUAAACCUACCAAUGAAAGGUCCCCUCUGUCACCAGGUGGCGCCGCCCUUUGGUUUGCUGUGGUACUUUGCUGUGUUCUCUGUGGCAUCAUGUUACUGUGUAAAUAAAUUCAUUUUCAUAUACACUAAAAACCAGACGAGCGCUUGUCCUUUCAGCAGCUCUCCCACACUGACGUGCUGCGGGGGAGGGGGAGUUUGGUUGCAGACAUGGUUACAUCUUAAAUUCCAGGAUGCAUGCCCUCUUGAAUGCUCCUCCCUGCUGACCUGGACUAUAUUUCGAUUCGUUCCCUCCCUAAACUGAGAAAACCAGGCAUGGAAGGGAACGAGAAGGCCUUCAGCUUUCCCCCAGAGCUCAGAGGGCUGCGGGUUUGCUGUGUGAGAUCGCCCCCUGGUGACCAGUCACCAUAUAGACUUCCUGGGUUUGUACUAUCACAGGUUUGAGAGGUUUGGUUAGCAGGCUGUGGCUGAGCCUCUGAGCGGCCAUCUGAGAGCUCUGCAGACAAUACGAGCAAGGCAGGGCCUUGUACAGUAUCAUAUGCUACAGAAUCCACAUCGUUUGCCUGUUCCUAAAGGUACACGGUCAC